CGAUCUUCUUCGGAAGAGAGCGGCGGACGGGUGAGUAACGCGUGGGUAACCUGCCUCAUACACAUGGAUAACAUACCGAAAGGUAUGCUAAUACAAGAUGAUAUAAGAGAUUCGCAUGGAUUUCUUAUCAAAGCUCCGGCGGUACAGGAUGGACCCGCGUCUGAUUAGCUAGUUGGUGAGGUAAUGGCUCACCAAGGCGACGAUCAGUAGCCGACCUGAGAGGGUGAUCGGCCACAUUGGAACUGAGACACGGUCCAAACUCC
rnacentral:rRNA from 1 species